CAGCGUGUCGUCUGUGUGUGUGUAACA
rnacentral:sRNA from 1 species